UGUAACAUAAUUCCAAGAAUAUAUCCUCUAUUUUGUUUUUUUGAGAUAAUUAAUGGCUUCUCCACCUCUUCAAGCUUCAAAAUUCCUCAAAAAUCAAUAGAUUUUUCUCUCUCUAAAAAAAAAUGAUAUAGAUUUUUUUUUGUUGUUGUUGUUGAUAUGAUAUAGUAGUUGUUGAGAAGCAUAUGAUUCUGCUGAAAUGGGAGCAUGUGUAUCGCGUCCAGAUAGUUGUGUUGGAGGUAAAUUGAAAGGUUCAAAUAAGUUUAGGAAAAAAAGGGGGGGAAGAAGAAGAAGGAAGAAAUCUAACUCACUUCAUAAAAUUGAUGAGGCGUUUCCUUUGGAUAACUAUAAUCCAACAUUUCAGGGACGGAUUGAGGAGGCAUGGUUUGAUUCUGCUGCAAUAUUUGAAUCUGAUUGCAGUGAUGAAGAUUUCCAGAGUGUUCCUGAUGAUGUACUUUCUGUCAACAGCUUUGAUUGUGGGCGGACUAGUGUAGCUUCGAUCAAAGAUACUAACAAUGGGGAUGUUAAUUUAAACCCCGAUGGACCUCACAGUGAGGUACGGCCUGUUUUCCUUGAUGAGAUCUCGUCCUCGGAAAAUAUAGGUAGUGGCAGGGAGGAUGGUUUGUCGGAGAACUGUGGAAUUCUUUCAAACAACUGUCUGCCCCGUCUUACCUCCACUGUUGUGCCUGUUGAGAAGAGAUCUCUUAGCUCUAGUCCUCCAAGUUCAAGGAAGAAAGCGGACCUAAAGCUUCCCUUCAAAUGGAAAGAUGGAAAUCCUUGUGCCACUCUACUUUCAUCUAAAACCCUGCUUCAAAGGCCCAUAGCUGGUAGCCAAGUACCAGUUUGCCCGUUGGAGAAUAAAUUGCCUGAUAGUUGGUCCUAUAUUGAACCAAAUACCUUCAGGGUCCGGGGAGGAAACUAUUUCAGGGACAAAAAGAAAGAGUUUGCGGCAAAUAAUGCUGCAUAUUAUCCUUUUGGCGUUGACGUAUUUUUAUCUCAAAGAAAAAUUGAUCACAUUGCUCAACUUGUGGAACUUCCUGUCAUUGAACACUCUGGGACACUUCCACCCAUUCUUGUAGUGAACAUUCAGGUGCCAUUAUAUCCUACCGCAAUUUUUCAGGGUGAAACUGACGGUAAAGGAAUGAGUUUUGUCUUGUACUUUAAGCUUUCCGAAAGUUAUGCAAAAGAACUUCCUUCUUAUUUUCAGGAGAACAUCAGAAGAGUAAUGGAUGAUGAAGUGGAAAAAGUGAAGGCUUUUCCAAUGGAUGGUACUGUUCCGUUUAGGGAAAGGUUAAAGAUAUUAGGUCGUGUAGCAAAUAUGGAGGACCUUCGGUUAAGUGCAGCAGAGAGGAAGCUGAU
rnacentral:misc_RNA from 1 species